rnacentral:misc_RNA from 1 species
ACACCUCAACUCUCAUGGCUCGCCGUGAUGAGCUUGGACUUUGGGGGUCUUGCUGGCCUGCGGUCAGCUCCUCUCAAAUGAAUCAGCUUUCCAGUGUUUGGCAGCAUCACAGGUGUGAUAACUAUCUACGCUUGUGGUUUUCUGCCAGGUAACCUUCAGCAAUGCAGGUUCGCUGGGGCUCAUAAAUGUCUCUCUCCUCGGUGAAGACAGCUUUGUGAAC